GGUGAGGAACAAUGUAACGUCCAAUACAGCCGCGUCUUUAGGCUAGUGCUUCACCAUGGAACACUUCAGCGACGACUCCUCGGAUCCAGACACUCCCGAGGCCUUCAAAAGUGGUAGCAGUGACCUGUGGGAAGCCUGGCAUUAGCAGUGCUGCGAGGAGCCCUAAAUAACGGGCCUGUAGCUGUUGUUCCCUCGUGUCAUGCCCCGCGGCGAGGCGACACUCACACCAACACCUGGCGAGGCCUAUCAUGAGUCGGUGCCUUAAUUAUUCAUCUUUAAUAUGGUGGAACACCUGACGACUCUUAGCAGCAGGCAGGGCGGUGCCCCGAGGCUGACGCCCUGAGCGUAGCGCCCCAGAGGUCGCGCAGCGUGAGGGAGAAGGGAGUGGUAGGGGUGACGGGGCCCGGGGCAUGCAGGAGGCUGUGGCAUGGCAGGAAGGGAUGCAGGGAGGGGGGGAGGGUGAGGAGUGAGUCUCGUGAGGUGAUCAGUGGCGGCCCUCCCCUCCCCGCCUGUCCCUCACGCUCGGGCUGGUUGGCUGGUUGGCGGGGAGCAGCAGCAGCACACAGCGGCCACCAGCUGUCUUCAGUGUGUUACUGGCUAGUGGCGGAGGAACACUGAUGCGCGCGCUCGCCUCUCAUCCCUGUGUUUAGGAACUGUGAUAAGUGUUGGUUUGCGAAGCCCUCAGACACCUACUGAGUGCUAUUUACCUGUGUCUAAUUAGAUAACCUACCUGGAUGUGAAAGAAUAAAAGAUAAAUAUACCAAGAAACUGAGACCUCGAGCGUACCUGUUGCCUUUUGUGUGAAUAUAAAAACACCUGUCAUUGAAGCCAGGUGUGUUACUGCAGGUGUGUAGAUAAUCACUCUACAGGUGCAGCGAUAAUUAAGGAAAUGAGAAAAGGUGACGAGUGAGAGUGAAAGGUCCACAUGUGUGUUACUAAGAACAGGUGUGGCUUACCUGACGGAGGUGCUGAAGUGGUGCUGAAGGAGUGCUGAGACCAUGGGGGUGUGGUCCUGAGUGCUGCGUGGCGGGAGAAUGAGGAGAGGCGUGCAGGAAGAGAGAAAGAGGAGGGAAAAGAUUGGCAGGAAGUUACGAAGAGGAAGAAACAGAGAUUGAAAACAACGCCAGGAGAGGGAGGAGGAGGAGAAGGAGGAGGAGGAGGAGGCGGAGGCGCAAGGGAUUUGUUACUUGACCUAGCCUGACCUCGUGUGACCUCAUGUCAAGAUGUCGUCGCUACAGGAGCAGCAGAGGACAGGUAAGCGUCCAGGUGUGCAGGUGGCGUCAGCAGGUGCACAGGUGGGAGACACGCACGUACAUACUAAUAUACUCGUGGUUAUGUAAAUGGUGGGGUGGGAAAGGUUACAUUGUGGGGGAGAGGAGUGGGUG